AUUGAACGCUGGCGGCAGGCCUAACACAUGCAAGUCGAACGAGUGGCGGACGGGUGAGUAAUGUCUGGGAAACUGCCUGAUGGAGGGGGAUAACUACUGGAAACGGUAGCUAAUACCACAUACCAUCAGAUGUGUCCAGAUCGGAUUAGCUUGUUUGUGGGGUAACGGCUCACCAAGGCGACGAUCCCUCGCUGGUCUGAGAGGAUGACCAGCCGCACUGGAACUGAGACACGGUCCAGACUCCGACGGGAGGCAGCAGUGGGGAAUAUUGCACAAUGGGCGCAAGCCUGAUGCAGCCAUGCCGCGUGUAUGAAGAAGGCCUUCGGGUUGUAAAGUACUUUCAGCGGGGAGGCGUUACCCUCAGAAGAAGCACCGGCUAACUCCGUGCCAGCAGCCGCGGUAAUAC
rnacentral:rRNA from 1 species